UACAGAGGUGGCAAGCGUUGUUCGGAAUUACUGGGCGUAAAGGGCGCGUAGGCGGCCGCCUAAGUCAGACGUGAAAUCCCCAGGCUUAACUUGGGAACUGCGUCUGAUACUGGGUGGCUUGAGUUCGGGAGAGGAAUGUGGAAUUCCAGGUGUAGCGGUGAAAUGCGUAGAUAUCUGGAGGAACACCGGUGGCGAAGGCGGCAUCCUGGACCGGCAUUGACGCUGAGGCGCGAAAGCUAGGGGAGCAAACGGG
rnacentral:rRNA from 1 species